AACGAACGCUGGCGGCAUGCCUAACACAUGCAAGUCGAACGAGACCUUCGGGUCUAGUGGCGCACGGGUGCGUAACGCGUGGGAACCUGCCCUUAGGUUCGGAAUAACUCCCCGAAAGGGGUGCUAAUACCGGAUAAUGUCUUCGGACCAAAGAUUUAUCGCCUUUGGAUGGGCCCGCGUUGGAUUAGCUAGUUGGUAGGGUAAAAGCCUACCAAGGCGACGAUCCAUAGCUGGUCUGAGAGGAUGAUCAGCCACACUGGGACUGAGACACGGCCCAGACUCCUACGGGAGGCAGCAGUGGGGAAUAUUGGACAAUGGGCGAAAGCCUAAUCCAGCAAUGCCGCGUGAGUGAUGAAGGCCUUAGGGUUGUAAAGCUCUUUUAACCGGGAUGAUAAUGACAGUACCGGGAGAAUAAGCGCCGGCUAACUCCGUG
rnacentral:rRNA from 1 species